rnacentral:rRNA from 1 species
AUUGAACGCUGGCGGCAGGCCUAACACAUGCAAGUCGAACGAGUGGCGGACGGGAGAGUAAUGUCUGGGAAACUGCCUGAUGGCGGGGGAUAACUACUGGAAACGGUAGCUAAUACCGCAUACCAUCGGAUGUGCCCAGAUGGGUUUAGCGAGUAGGUGGGGUAAAGGCUCACCUCGUCGAUGAGCCCUAGCUGGUCUGAGAGGAUGACGAGCAACACUGAAACGGAGACACGGUCCAGACUCCUACGGGAGGCAUCAGUGGGUAAUAUGGCGCAAUGGGUGCAAGCCUGAUGAAGCCAUGCCGCGUGUAUGAGGAAGGCCUUCGGGUAGUAAAGUACUUUCAGCGGGGAGGCGUUACCCGCAGAAGAAGCACCGGCUAACUCCGUGCCAGCAGCCGCGGUAAUAC